GAUGAAGAACGCAGUGAAAUGCGAUACUUGGUGUGAAUUGCAGAAUCCCGUGAACCAUCGAGUCUUUGAACGCAAGUUGCGCCUCAAGCCAUUAGGUUGAGGGCACGUCUGCCUGGGCGUCACAUAUCGUUGCCUGAUGCCAGUUUCCUCGUGAUGGGUGACUGUGCAGGGCGAAUGAUGGCUUCCCGUGAGCAUUGUUGCCUCAUGGUUGGUUGAAAAUUGAGUCCUUGGUAGGGAGCGCCGUGAUAGAUGGUGGUUGAGUGACGAACGGACCCAAUCAUGUGAGACCCCUACCGAAUUUGGCCUUCAUGACCCACAUGCGUCUUUGGAACGCUCAUGACGAGACCUCAGGUCAGGCGGGGCUACCCGCUGAGUUUAAGCAUAUCAAUAAGCGGAGGA
rnacentral:misc_RNA from 1 species